GUGCUUGCUUCUGUGGCACAUGUACUAAAACGGGAAUGAUGGAGAGAUUAGCACAGCCACUGACUAGAGAUGACAUAAAAGAUAGUGAAGCAUUCCACUGUCUU
ensembl:snRNA predicted gene, 22814